rnacentral:rRNA from 1 species
AUUGAACGCUAGCGGGAUGCUUUACACAUGCAAGUCGAACGAGUGGCGGACGGGUGAGUAAUAUCUCGGAACGUGCCCAGUAGCGGGGGAUAACUACUCGAAAGAGUGGCUAAUACCGCAUACCAUCGGAUGGGCCGAUAUCGGAUUAGCUAGUUGGUGGGGUAAAGGCUCACCAAGGCAACGAUCCGUAGCUGGUUUGAGAGGAUGACCAGCCACACUGGGACUGAGACACGGCCCAGACUCCUACGGGAGGCAGCAGUGGGGAAUUUUGGACAAUUGGGGAAACCCUGAUCCAGCCAUCCCGCGUGUAUGAGAAGGCCUUCGGGUUGUAAAGUACUUUUGGCAGAGAAGCGGUAUCUGCAGAAUAAGCACCGGCUAACUACGUGCCAGCAGCCGCGGUAAUUC